rnacentral:rRNA from 1 species
AGUGAACGCUGGCGGUAGGCCUAACAUAUGCAAGUCGAACGGCAGCACAGUAAGAGCUUGCUCUUACGGGUGGCGAGUGGCGGACGGGUGAGGAAUACAUCGGAAUCUACUUUUUCGUGGGGGAUAACGUAGGGAAACUUACGCUAAUACCGCAUACGACCUACGGUGAAAGGAGGGGAACUUCCGACCUUUGCGGGUUUAAUUAGGCGGAUGUCGGAUUAGCUAGUUGGCGGGGUAAAGGCCCACCAAGGCGACGAUCCGUAGCUGGUCUGAGAGGAUGAUCAGCCACACUGGAACUGAGACACGGUCCAGACUCCUACGGGAGGCAGCAGUGGGGAAUAUUGGACAAUGGGCGCAAGCCUGAUCCAGCCAUACCGCGUGGGUGAAGAAGGCCUUCGGGUUGUAAAGCCCUUUUGUUGGGAAAGAAAAGCAGCAGGUUAAUACCCCGCUGUUCUGACGGUACCCAAAGAAUAAGCACCGGCUAACUUCGUG